rnacentral:rRNA from 1 species
AGUCAACCUACCCUAUGGACGGGAAUAACCUCGGGAAACUGAGUAUAAUGCCCGAUAGAACACUAUACCUGGAAUGGUUUGUGUUCCAAAUGAUUUAUCGCCGUAGGAUGGGACUGCGGCCUAUCAGUUUGUUGGUGGGGUAAUGGCCCACCAAGACUAUUACAGGUACGGGCUCUGAGAGGAGUAGCCCGGAGAUGGGUACUGAGACACGGACCCAGGCCCUAUGGGGCGCAGCAGGCGAGAAAACUUUGCAAUGUGCGAAAGCACGACAAGGUUAAUCCGAGUGGUUUGUGCUAAACGAACCUUUUGACAGUCCUAGAAACACUGUUGAAUAAGGGGUGGGCAAGUUCUGGUGUCAGCCGCCACGGUAAAACCAGCACCUCAAGUGGUCAGGAUGAUUAUUGGGCCUAAAGCAUCCGUAGCCGGCUCUAUAAGUUUUCGGUUAGAUCUGUACGCUCAACGUACAGGCUGCCGGGAAUACUGCAGAGCUAGGGAGUGGGAGAGGUAGACGGUACUCGGUAGGAAGGGGUAAAAUCCUUUGAUCUAUUGAUGACCACCUGUGGCGAAGGCGGUCUACCAGAACACGUCCGACGGUGAGGGAUGAAAGCUGGGGGAGCAAACCGGAUUAGAUACCCGGGUAGUCCCAGCUGUAAACUAUGCAAACUCAGUGAUGCAUUGGCUUGUGGCCAAUGCAGUGCUGCAGGGAAGCCGUUAAGUUUGCCGCCUGGGAAGUACGUACGCAAGUAUGAAACUUAAAGGAAUUGGCGGGGGAGCACCACAAGGGGUGAAGCCUGCGGUUC